AGAGUUUGAUCCCUGGCUCAUGAUGAACGCUAGCGGCAGGCUUAACACAUGCAAGUCGAGGGGUAACAGGGAAAAGCUUGCUUUUCCGCUGACGACCGGCGCACGGGUGCGUAACGCGUAUAGAACCUACCUUUUACUGAGGGAUAGCCUUUAGAAAUGAAGAUUAAUACCUCAUAGUAUUUUAGAUUGGCAUCGAUUUAAAAUUAGAGAUUUAUUGGUAAAAGAUGGCUAUGCGUCCUAUUAGUUAGUUGGUGAGGUAACGGCUCACCAAGACAGCGAUAGGUAGGGGUCCUGAGAGGGAGAUCCCCCACACUGGUACUGAGACACGGACCAGACUCCUACGGGAGGCAGCAGUGAGGAAUAUUGGACAAUGGGCGAGAGCCUGAUCCAGCCAUGCCGCGUGCAGGAAGAAUGCCCUAUGGGUUGUAAACUGCUUUUAUACGGGAAGAAACACCCCCUCGUGAGGGGGCUUGACGGUACCGUAAGAAUAAGCACCGGCUAACUCCGUGCCAGCAGCCGCGGUAAUACGGAGGGUGCAAGCGUUAUCCGGAAUCAUUGGGUUUAAAGGGUCCGCAGGCGGUCAAUUAAGUCAGAGGUGAAAUCCCAUAGCUUAACUAUGGAACUGCCUUUGAUACUGGUUGACUUGAGUUAUACGGAAGUAGAUAGAAUGUGUAGUGUAGCGGUGAAAUGCAUAGAUAUUACACAGAAUACCGAUUGCGAAGGCAGUCUACUACGUAUAUACUGACGCUCAUGGACGAAAGCGUGGGGAGCGAACGGGAUUAGAUACCCCGGUAGUCCACGCCGUAAACGAUGGACACUAGUUGUUGGGAUUUAUCUCAGUGACUAAGCGAAAGUGAUAAGUGUCCCACCUGGGGAGUACGGUCGCAAGAUUGAAACUCAAAGGAAUUGACGG
rnacentral:rRNA from 1 species